CAGAGGAAUCUUCUGCCUCCUGUGAAGGUUCCUUCAUGCGGAACAACUUCCUGGUAAAAGGGAAUACCAGCUUUGGAUUGAGAGUAGCCUUGUUUGUGGAGCCUGACGAAGGAAAAAGGAAUUCCUUACGUAAAUGCUGGAUAAGUGGACGGAAAAAGUAUUGUUAAGACUGACCUGUGAUGAAGCUGAUAAUGAUUCCAGUGCUUAAGGUUACGAAGAACCCGAUGACUGCAAUCCACAGUUGUGAGUUGGCCCCGGGGGUAAGGCAAGUGUAGGGGCGCCGUACAGCAAGGAGCCAACAGUUAUCCACAGGUUGACGGCGAUGCCGAUGAGUCCACCCCCGACGGCGCCCUGAUGAUGAUGGACAUGAAGCAGUCCGACAGGAAACAGCAAACAAUAGGACAGAGUAGAAGGGAACCAUUCCUGCCAUAAAGAAUAUGCCGUUGAUCGGACCAUUGCAGGCUCCAACAAUCGUAC